UAGUAUGUAUGCUCUUUUGAC
rnacentral:piRNA from 1 species